CCUUAACUGACGCUAAAGCUCGAAGGUGCGGGUAUCGAACAGGAUUAGAUACCCUGGUAGUCCGCACGGUAAACGAUGGAUGCCCGCUGUUUGCGAUAUACUGUGAGCGGCCAAGAGAAAUCGUUAAGCAUCCCACCUGGGGAGUACGCCGGCAACGGUGAAACUCAAAGGAAUUGACGGGGGCCCGCACAAGCGGAGGAACAUGUGGUUUAAUUCGAUGAUACGCGAGGAACCUUACCCGGGCUUGAACUGCAGGAGAACGAUUCAGAGAUGAUGAGGCCCUUCGGGGCUCCUGUGGAGGUGCUGCAUGGUUGUCGUCAGCUCGUGCCGUGAGGUGUCGGCUUAAGUGCCAUAACGAGCGCAACCCUUUUCGUUAGUUGCCAUCAGGUAAUGCUGGGCACUCUGGUGAUACUGCCACCGUAAGGUGUGAGGAAGGUGGGGAUGACGUCAAAUCAGCACGGCCCUUACGUCCGGGGCUACACACGUGUUACAAUGGGAGGUACAGAGAGUCGGAUGUACGCAAGUACAUUCUAAUCCUAAAAGCCUUCCUCAGUUCGGAUUGGGGUCUGCAACCCGACCCCAUGAAGCUGGAUCGCUAGUA
rnacentral:rRNA from 1 species